rnacentral:rRNA from 1 species
AUUCAAGAAAAGGAUAUAAGUCCAACUCUAAGCCUUAAGAUAAUAUUUAAUACAAUAAUAGACUUAGAAUUUAUUCAAAUAAGGUACAGCCUAUUUGAAACAGGAUACAACCUACAAUAGAGGGUAAUACCUAAGUCAGUGUAAUUAAGUAGGCCUAAGAGCAGCCACCUUUUAAAUAGCGUUAAAGCCUUUUUACACCCAAUAAUUAAUUCCAACCUAAACCAUAAACCCCUUACCAAUAUUGAAUGACUCCAUAGUUAUAUGGAAAACUCUAUGUCUGAACUAGUAACAAGAACAAUUUCUCCAAUAACGUAAAUGUAAGCCGGAAUGAACCCCCUCACCGGCACUUAUCGCCAAUGAACCUAUAGUAGUAACUGAACAAGAAAAUCCUACUUCCUUAAGCGUUAACCUUACACCAGAACUUUUCUGGAAAGAUUAAAAAAAGAGGAAGGAACUCGGCAAAUGUUAAUCCCGCC